UCAGAUUAAAUAAAUUUAAUGGCGCUGAAGCACUGAAGUUUCACAUCUUGGACCACAAAAUGACUAUAUGCAAAUUCUCCAUUUGCUCCAUGUACUAAAGUGAAGUGUGUCUGGGGCACAGAAGGAGAAAUUCAUAUUUUUAAUCAUGAUCAUCUCAUCAGCUCUACUACUGCUGGCAGCAACUGCAUCCUGUGGUGUUUUCUGUGUUGAGCUCAAUCAGCCUCCAUCUUUGGUUGCGAAACCUCAAGAAUCAUUCUCCAUCUCCUGCAGGAUUUCAGUAUCAAGCUAUUGCAUUCACUGGAUCCAUCAACCCACUGGAAAAGCACUGGAAUGGCUCGGAUAUCUUUGUAGUGAUGGUAGAACCAACAUUAAAGAUUCUGUGAAAAACAAGAUCAGUUUCACCCAGGACACAUCCAAAAACACAGUGUUUCUACAGGGAAAUAAUUUUCAGACUGAGGACUCUGCUGUGUAUUACUGUGCGAUACAGUCACAGUGACUAAACAAGCCACAGCUCUGUACAAAAACCUGAACACAUGAAUCAGAGAUACGUAAUACCAGGGGCAUUUUUAUCCUUUCAUCAGCACUCAACACCAGCCCCACUCCUACUCUUUUUUUUUUUCUUUUAAAUGAUUUUUUUCACAUGAUUAUCACACAUAAUGCUCUGAUUGUAAUAUUAUCAUAGAAAAUGA